UACGGAGGGUGCAAGCGUUAAUCGGAAUUACUGGGCGUAAAGCGCACGCAGGUGGCUGAGUCAGUCGAUUGUGAAAGCCCUGGGCUUAACCUGGGAAUUGCAGUCGAUACUACUCAGCUAGAGUAUGGGAGAGGGUAGUGGAAUUCCCGGUGUAGCGGUGAAAUGCGUAGAUAUCGGGAGGAACAUCAGUGGCGAAGGCGGCUCACUGGACCGGUACUGACGCUGAUGCGCGAAAGCGUGGGGAGCAAACGGG
rnacentral:rRNA from 1 species